rnacentral:lncRNA from 1 species
UUUUUAUUAUUUAUAAUGUAAUUUGAUUUUAGAAAAAUAAAUAUUUUUAUUAAAAAAAUCUAUUCCAAUAAAUAGAUGGUGACAUGUCAAAGAUGCCCGAACCCGUUUGGGUUUUAAUUAUCCAUCCCCGAUGGGGAUUGGGAUGGGCAAUGAGGAUUUUGUCAAGACUCAGGUUUGAGUUUGGGGGAGGUAAAAACCGUCUCAGAUCUGCC